CGGUGAAGCCCAGCUUGCUGGGUGGAUCAGUGGCGAACGGGUGAGUAACACGUGAGCAACCUGCCCUCCACUUCGGGAUAAGCCUUGGAAACGGGGUCUAAUACCGGAUAUGAGCUCGCAUCGCAUGGUGUGGGUUGGAAAGUUUUUCGGUGGGGGAUGGGCUCGCGGCCUAUCAGCUUGUUGGUGGGGUGAUGGCCUACCAAGGCGUCGACGGGUAGCCGGCCUGAGAGGGCGACCGGCCACACUGGGACUGAGACACGGCCCAGACUCCUACGGGAGGCAGCAGUGGGGAAUAUUGCACAAUGGGCGCAAGCCUGAUGCAGCGACGCCGCGCGAGGGAUGACGGCCUUCGGGUUGUAAACCUCUUUCAGCAGGGAAGAAGCGCAAGUGACGGUACCUGCAGAAGAAGCGCCGGCUAACUACGUGCCAGCAGCCGCGGUAAUACGUAGGGCGCAAGCGUUGUCCGGAAUUAUUGGGCGUAAAGAGCUCGUAGGCGGUCUGUCGCGUCUGGUGUGAAAUCCCGAGGCUCAACCUCGGGCUUGCAUCGGGUACGGGCAGACUAGAGUGCGGUAGGGGAGACUGGAAUUCCUGGUGUAGCGGUGGAAUGCGCAGAUAUCAGGAGGAACACCGAUGGCGAAGGCAGGUCUCUGGGCCGCAACUGACGCUGAGGAGCGAAAGCAUGGGGAGCGAACAGGAUUAGAUACCCUGGUAGUCCAUGCCGUAAACGUUGGGCACUAGGUGUGGGGCUCAUUCCACGAGUUCCGUGCCGCAGCUAACGCAUUAAGUGCCCCGCCUGGGGAGUACGGCCGCAAGGCUAAAACUCAAAGGAAUUGACGGGGGCCCGCACAAGCGGCGGAGCAUGCGGAUUAAUUCGAUGCAACGCGAAGAACCUUACCAAGGCUUGACAUGUACGAGAAAGCCCCCGAGACGGGGUUCUCUUUGGACACUCGUACACAGGUGGUGCAUGGUUGUCGUCAGCUCGUGUCGUGAGAUGUUGGGUUAAGUCCCGCAACGAGCGCAACCCUCGUCCUAUGUUGCCAGCGGGUUAUGCCGGGGACUCAUGGGAGACUGCCGGGGUCAACUCGGAGGAAGGUGGGGAUGACGUCAAAUCAUCAUGCCCCUUAUGUCUUGGGCUUCACGCAUGCUACAAUGGCCGGUACAGAGGGCUGCGAUACCGUAAGGUGGAGCGAAUCCCAAAAAGCCGGU
rnacentral:rRNA from 1 species